AAAUUUAGGGUUUUCUAUUUAUCUUAGAUAUUUCUAGAACUUUCACAAUUGAAUUGCUCUCAAUUGCGGUUGAUGACAAUUGGCUCGCAAAAUUGGUCUAAAAACAAUUCGGUCACAAAUUUGGUCGGUAAAUUUUCGGUUACAAAACCGGUCAUAAAUAGUUGCAAAAGUAAUUUACCAUCAGAGUCUAAGCGACUGUUGAAGCCGGUAACAGACCUGUCACAAAAGGAAAGGGAGUUACAAAUCUAUAUACUAUCAAUUAACAACAUGUUUGUGCAUUUUUGCUUUGUAAAUUAGGUUGAUUGGGUGGUUUGUGUUUAUUGGGAUGUAACUUCUCUUUGCAGUGUUGUACCCUCCUUGGGUAUUUAAGUUGUGUAAGUGUGUGUGGUUGCUUCAUUUUGAAGCACCCCACUCUCUCACCUCUCCACUGGCUCCCUCAUUUUUCGUCGUCGCACCGCAGUAGCAGUACCACAUCCCCUCCUUCGUGUCGUUGCUUUCUGGUGCUUUGCUUUUCCGUCGUUUCCUACCAAUCCCAAAGAGAUUUGUUGUUUACUGUUUUCUUAUCCGAUGUUGUUCUGUGUUUGGGCCUUUGAUGUUCUUGCAUGCUCUUUUUUAGUGUUGAUCUUUUUUCACGUUGGUUUUUUGGGAUGAUUUGGAGAUUUUUUUUGUUUAAGAUGGGCUUAUACCAAUGAAGAUAAAACUUUGGUGUUCAUCCGAGGCUUCUUGAUGUACUAUUUUUCUAUUCCCUUUUUAUGGUUACAGUUUUCUGUUUAAGAUCGUUUGGAGAUUUGGUUUUCUAAAAGGGAUAUUAUGCUGAUGAAGAUGAAGCUUUUGUGUUCAUCCAAAGCUUUCUAAUUUACAUCUUUUUUCAUGUUUUUACAGUUAGGGUUUGAUGUUCAUUUGAGGCUUAAUGUCGAUGAAGAUGAUUCUUUUAUUGUUUAUCAGGGUUUGUGUAGUUUUUGUAUGUGUAUAAACAGUUUUUUCGGUUUGAUGCAAGUUAAUUUUUGCUCGAUGACGAUGAUUUGAUUGUCAUCUAAGAGUGUGGUUGUGAUGGUGCUUCGGUUUGGGCUCGACACUUUUUGAUUCAACCAACUGAAAUUGUUGAGCUUUAUUUUUGUCUAGUUAUAGUUUGUUUAUGUAUUAUCAAUUAGCAACAUGCUUGUGCAUUUGUUCUUUGUACUGGAUUUGGGGUUAUUUGUCUACUAUUAACAAGCAACAUAUUGUUGCAUUGGUUCUUUUGCGUAGUAGGCUUAUUGUGUUGUUUGUGUUUGAUUGGGUUGUAACUUGGCUUUGGUGUGUUGUAACCUCCUUGGGUAUUUAAAGUGUUUGUGUGGCUUGGGUUGUU